CUCGGUAGCUUAGUUUGUAAGGUGCUUGUCUAUCAAACAUGAGUCCUGGGUUCAAAUCCCAGCCGAG
rnacentral:tRNA from 1 species